GACGAACGCUGGCGGCGUGCUUAACACAUGCAAGUUGAACGGUAAGGCCCUUCGGGGUACACGAGUGGCGAACGGGUGAGUAACACGUGGGUGAUCUGCCCUGCACUUCGGGAUAAGCCUGGGAAACUGGGGCUAAUACCGGAUAGGACUCCGGCCUGCAUGGUCUGGGGUGGAAAGCUUUUGCGGUGUGGGAUGGGCCCGCGGCCUGUCAGCUUGUUGGUGGGGUGAUGGCCUACCAAGGCGACGACGGGUAGCCGGCCUGAGAGGGUGACCGGCCACACGGGGACUGAGAUACGGACCAGACUCCUACGGGAGGCAGCAGUGGGGAAUAUUGCACAAUGGGCGCAAGCCUGAUGCAGCGACGCCGCGUGAGGGAUGACGGCCUUCGGGUUGUAAACCUCUUUCAGCAUCGACGAAGCGAAAGUGACGGUAGGUGCAGAAGAAGGACCGGCCGACUACGUGCCAGCCGCCGCGGUAA
rnacentral:rRNA from 1 species